GCUCGCCCACUACUCCGAAGGCAACAAAACAUUCCGCGGCAUCAUUGCUGCUCUCGAGAUUGUCAUCCUCGACUUGCUUGUGCAUUGGGCUCGCACCGUGCACACACAAGCAAUGUCUAGACAAUCCUAAUCAUAGCUCAACCGCCCACACGAAGAGAAUUGGCUUAGCUUCUUCAAAAGCCAACCCGCCCCCAACGUGUUCGUGUGGCCGAUAAUUCGCUAGCUUCUUCAUGAACUCCGCAGAAAGCCGUCCUCGACGUACCCGUGCAUUGAGAAGGUUUGGUGGCCGCACUCCCAACACAAAAGCAUAACCGAAGACAACCCCGAGCUAAAUUCCACCCGAAGCCCGCCCAUCGCCACCACGUGUGUUCGUGUGCCCAACAAUUGGCUAGCUUCUUCAUCAACCCCGCCGAAAGCCAUCCCCCGACAUACCCGUGCAUUGAGAAGGUUUGGUGGCCGUACUCCCAACACAAAAGAAUAACCGAGGACAACCCCAAGCCAAAGUAAACUCGAAAGCCAACCCAUCGUCACCCACACUAGUCAGUGAAUGGUGUUCUUCCCGGGGUUGGAAUAGACAUUCCCUCGCAAGCAAAAGAUUGUUCUAUGCAAAAAGAUUGUCUAUGCCAACCCCGGGAAGAACACCAUUCACCCACUCCCGCCCGGUGUGGAGUGGCGGUGAUUGGAUAGCUACGGAUUGAGCAAUUGCCAUGGAUCAAAAUGUGUCAUUUGGAAGGAUUUUUGUCAAAAAGUUUUUAAAAUCUCGUGGGUUUGUAAAUCAUAGGAGCAUCACUUUCAACGUCCCCGUAUUGGGUUGAGUUUCUAAAAACAACCGUGCACACCGAGGUUAAACUUUACCGGGUCCGCUCCGAAAACAUUUGUUUUUCAUUUUGAUGAAAAUUUCUGAUUUUAAAACGCUUUGGUUUGAAAUUGUUUUGAAAAGGUUCUUUAAAUCUUGUGGGUUUGCAACUCGUAGGAGCAUCACUUUCAACGCCCCCGGUAUUGGAUUGAGUUUCUAAAAACAACCGUGCACACCGAGGUUAAACUUUACCGGGUCCGCUCCGACUCGCCGCUCCACCCACACUAUUCCGAAGGCAACGAAACAUUUGUUUUUAAUUUUGAUGAAAUUGUUUUGAAAAAUUUGGCUAGGCAAUCCCAAUCCGCGACUAUCCACCCACCGCCACCCCACACGGGUGGUUGUUAGUUGCUAAAUGAGGUUGUGGUCGACAUGCCGGUGCAUUUGAGAAGGAGUUCCUAGCAACUCCGUGCUCUCCCAUGCAAAAAAAAGCCUAGACAACCCCAUUUCGCAACUUUCCACGCUUUUUUUUUUUUUCCCCACCUCACCCAUGGCGGCGGCGUGGUGGCGGCCGGAUUCCGGCCACCACCGCCAUGGGUGGCAGCCCCCCACCCCGACACAAACCCAUAAUACCGAGGCAACAUAUCGAGGCAACAUGACAUGGGUGUGGCGUGGGGGAAGGGGGCUGCAGCUAGGAAGGCAUGGGCUGCCAUGCAUAUGCAGGCAACACACACCCCCCUAUAUAGCAUUUUAUGCAUUUUGCCCUUUGACAGGAGGAGACAUCAACUAUGCGCGAGGAGUCAUAAUGGGCUCUAAAUAAUUCAAUACAAGGUAUUUUGACCUGAUUUUUUGCAGG
rnacentral:lncRNA from 1 species